GUAGCUUAAUCGUAGAGCAUUGGUUCGUAAAGCCUAGGACCCGGGUUCAAUACCCGGC
rnacentral:tRNA from 1 species